rnacentral:rRNA from 1 species
GACGAACGCUGGCGGCGUGCUUAACACAUGCAAGUCGAACGGAAAGGCCCUGCUUUUGUGGGGUGCUCGAGUGGCGAACGGGUGAGUAACACGUGAGUAACCUGCCCUUGACUUUGGGAUAACUUCAGGAAACUGGGGCUAAUACCGGAUAGGAGCUCCUGCUGCAUGGUGGGGGUUGGAAAGUUUCGGCGGUUGGGGAUGGACUCGCGGCUUAUCAGCUUGUUGGUGGGGUAGUGGCUUACCAAGGCUUUGACGGGUAGCCGGCCUGAGAGGGUGACCGGCCACAUUGGGACUGAGAUGCGGCCCAGACUCCAACGGGAGGCAGCAGUGGGGAAUAGUGCACAAUGGGCGGAAGCCUGAUGCAGCAACGCCGCGUGCGGGAUGACGGCCUUCGGGUUGUAAACCGCUUUCGCCUGUGACGAAGCGUGAGUGACGGUAAUGGGUAAAGAAGCACCGGCUAACUACGUG